UACGAAGGGGGCUAGCGUUGCUCGGAUUGACUGGGCGUAAAGGGCGCGUAGGCGGUUCGUACAGUCAGACGUGAAAUUCCUGGGCUCAACCUGGGGGCUGCGUUUGAUACGUGCGGGCUUGAGUUCGGAAGAGGGUCGUGGAAUUCCCAGUGUAGAGGUGAAAUUCGUAGAUAUUGGGAAGAACACCGGUGGCGAAGGCGGCGACCUGGUCCGAUACUGACGCUGAGGCGCGAAAGCGUGGGGAGCGAACAGG
rnacentral:rRNA from 1 species